GGCCACUGAGGCCUCCCCGUUCACCUCCCAGAGGCUGCCACUUUCUUCAGGGCUAGCAGAUGAAGGCAGCAAGGAAAACACCACCACAAGACCGACUUUAGGCUGGAGCUGAUGAUGCCACACGGGGGCUUCCUGGAGCUCCUGCAACCCCAGGCAUUAGUUCCAGUGCAGUUCUAGGAUCAGAUCAAUUCACUCGACAACAAGAGAAACAAAUGGAGAUUCCUACACAAAGACUUUCAAGCACAAAGAAAUCCUGCUGCCUAUAAAGCAGAGCUGCCUCAGCUCUUGAUGAACGACAGAAAAUACCACCUACUGCCAGACCUCUUCGCCUCACAAAACUCUCACCCACCUACUGCUUUUAGCUCAAAUUCCAGGAAUUCAGAUGAAGUGAAGUGCUCUCAUGGGGACCAGGCGUGGGUAUGCCAGUCCACUGCCCUGCAAGUCUCAAGGGAAACCAACUGCCCAUCAGCAAGUCACACCUGCCUUGGUGGAGGCAUUGAUUGGAAGGGCCACAGGCUACAUGUCCAGUCCUGAGUGGGAGAAUCGGUGUAGGGAUGUUCUGGGGAUGCUGGCUGUGGCUAGAUCAGGUCCAGCUACAGAAGAAUAAUGAAGACUUCACCUGAGGGCUGGAAAAACAAAACCUCAAGUGUGAGGCAGCCAACCUAUUACCUCGAGGGACUGUCCCGCAGCACAGCAGGGCCAUGGGAACAGCAGCAGACACCCCGGCCUCCUCACUACCUGUGUGUGUAUUAGACACCCAGCCUCCUCACUACCUGUGUAUUAGACACCCCGGCCUUCUCACUACCUGUGUGUGUAUUA
rnacentral:lncRNA from 1 species